rnacentral:rRNA from 1 species
UACGAAGGGGGCUAGCGUUGCUCGGAAUGACUGGGCGUAAAGGGCGCGUAGGCGGUUCAUACAGUCCAGAUCGUGAAAUUCCCGGGCUUAACCUGGGGGCUGCAUUUGAUACGUGUGGGCUUGAGUGAGGAAGAGGGUUGUGGAAUUCCCAGUGAGAGGUGAAAUUCGUAGAUAUUGGGAAGAACACCGGUGGCGAAGGCGG